rnacentral:rRNA from 1 species
GGGCCCGCACAAGCGGAGGAACAUGUGGUUUAAUUCGAUGAUACGCGAGGAACCUUACCCGGGCUUGAAAUGUACUUGAAUAAUUUGGAAACAGAUUAGCCAGCAAUGGCAGGUAUGUAGGUGCUGCAUGGUUGUCGUCCAGCUCGUGCCGUGAGGUGUCGGCUUAAGUGCCAUAACGAGCGCAACCCUUACCGUUAGUUACCAUCAUUUGGUUGGGGACUCUAGCGGGACUGCCACCGUAAGGUGUGAGGAAGGUGGGGAUGACGUCAAAUCAGCACGGCCCUUACGUCCGGGGCGACACACGUGUUACAAUGGGGGGUACAAUGGGUUGCUACCUGGUGACAGGAUGCUAAUCUCUAUAAAUCCUCUCUCAGUUCGGAUCGGAGUCUGCAACUCGACUCCGUGAAGCUGGAUUCGCUAGUAAUCGCGCAUCAGCCAUGGCG